GAUCGCUGUGAUGCGGGCCGGUUCGCUGCUCGUGACUCUGCGAGAAGUCCAUUGAACCUUAUCAUUUAGAGGAAGGAGAAGUCGUAACAAGGUUUCCGUAGGUGAACCUGCGGAAGGAUCAUUGUCGAGACCGAAACACAACGAGCGAUUUUGUGAACCUGUAAAAAUAAGCGGUGCCUCUUGCUGCUGUGAUAAAAUCCACCCGAGUCAUCACCUCAUCCCUUCUUUGGGCUGGGGACGUGACGAAGGAUGGAUGAACCCUCAAAUCGACGCAGCGUAUCGUCAAGGGAAUCUUGAAACACAAGCCCAAAAAUGGGUUUUGUGGGAUGGGGUGCUGUUGCACUACCAUAUUGAUUGACAUGACUCUCGGCAAUGGAUAUCUCGGCUCUCGCAUGGAUGAAGAGCGCAGCGAAAUGCGAUAUGUGGUGCGAAUUGCAGAAUCCCGCUGAACCAUCGAGUCUUUGAACGCAAGUUGCGCCUGAGGCCAACCGGCUGAGGGCACGUCCGCCUGGGCGUCAAGCAUUUUAUCGCUCCGUGCUUAGUCUCCCAUCCAUGGAUGUGUUGCCAAGGCUCGGAUGUGUACGGUGGCUCGUCGUGCCCCUUGGUGCGACGGGCUAAAGGGCGGGUCAUCUUCUCGUUGGCUGCCAACAAUAUGGGGUGGAUUAAAUAAGGCCUAUGCUAUUGUGUCAAGCGCGCCUGAGAGAUGAUCAUACUUUUUAGGUGAUCCCAAUUCAUGCGUCGAUCCAUGGAUGGCGUAUCGAAUGUGACCCCAGGAUGGGCGAGGCCACCCGCCGAGUUUAAGCAUAUCAAUAAGCGGAGGAGAAGAAACUUACGAGGAUUCCCCUA
rnacentral:rRNA from 1 species